rnacentral:rRNA from 1 species
GACGUAGGGCGCGAGCGUUGUCCGGAUUUAUUGGGCGUAAAGAGCUCGUAGGCGGCUUGUCGCGUCGACUGUGAAAUCCCGAGGCUCAACUUCGGGCUUGCAGUCGAUACGGGCAGGCUAGAGUUCGGUAGGGGAGACUGGAAUUCCUGGUGUAGCGGUGAAAUGCGCAGAUAUCAGGAGGAACACCGAUGGCGAAGGCACUUUACUGGGCUAUUACUAACACUGAGAGACGAAAGCUAGGGUAGCAAAUGGG